rnacentral:lncRNA from 1 species
GUCUUCAAUGUGUGACAGGUUAGUACAGUGGUGAACCUAUAGGUCUUCAGUAUGUGACAGGUUAGUACAGUGGUGAACCUAUAGGUCUUCAGUGUGUGACAGGUUAGUACAGUGGUGAACCUAUAGGUCUUCAGUAUGUGACAGGUUAGUACAGUGGUGAACCUAUAGGUCUUCAGUGUGACAGGUUAGUACAGUGGUGAACCUAUAGGUCUUCAGUGUGACAGGUUAGUACAGUGGUGAACCUAUAGGUCUUCAGUGUGACAGGUUAGUACAGUGGUGAACCUAUAGGUCUUCAGUGUGUGACAGGUUACUACAGUGGUGAACCUAUAGGUCUUCAGUGUGUGACAGGUUAGUACAGUGGUGAACCUAUAGGUCUUCAGUGUGUGACAGGUUAGUACAGUGGUGAACCUAUAGGUCUUCAGUGUGUGACAGGUUAGUACAGUGGUGAACCUAUAGGCCUUCAGUGUGUGACAGGUUAGUACAGUGGUGAACCUAUAGGUCUUCAGUGUGUGACAGGUUAGUACAGUGGUGAACCUAUAGGCCUUCAGUGUGUGACAGGUUAGUACAGUGGUGAACCUAUAGGUCUUCAGUGUGACAGGUUAGUACAGUGGUGAACCUAUAGGCCUUCAGUGUGACAGGUUAG